UACGUAGGGGGCUAGCGUUGUCCGGAAUCACUGGGCGUAAAGGGUUCGCAGGCGGAAAUGCAAGUCAGAUGUAAAAGGCAGUAGCUUAACUACUGUAAGCAUUUGAAACUGCAUAUCUUGAGAAGAGUAGAGGUAAGUGGAAUUUUUAGUGUAGCGGUGAAAUGCGUAGAUAUUAAAAAGAAUACCGGUGGCGAAGGCGACUUACUGGGCUCAUUCUGACGCUGAGGAACGAAAGCGUGGGUAGCAAACAGG
rnacentral:rRNA from 2 species